UCCACUGAAAAUUCAUGCUGACAUCGAACAAUGCAGAAAGAGGCUUGGCCCCUCUUGUCAAAUCGAGAUGAAAAGAACGUAACCUAGAAGAACAAAUGAGGGAUUUUCCAUAGAUUUUGUUUUAUAAAAUAUCAUCCAUGACUAUAUUUCAGAAUUUGGCUAUAAUUUCAGUAAGGAUGGUAUCACAUUUCUGAACGUUACAGUAGAGUCGAAAGAUGUGGUUUUUCUUAAGAGAGAAACGAUUAAAUGUAAAAAUAACACUUCACUUAACAGCCCUGCUGUCCCGGAAAAAAAUAUCCUUAAAGAAAGUCACUAUUGAAACUGAUCCUACCCAGAAUAGAAUAGAAUACAAAUAAAUUACUAGCGACCUGUGUGCCCAAAACACUAAAAGAGCUUCUUUAAAUAAGACAGUCUUACCCUAAGGAAUUAUUUCUCUUUGAAGAACUUUGUUUUAGAAGUAAAUAAACAACAAACAUACAAAAGGUAAUAUUAAUACAUCAGAGUAACCUACAAACAGAUGCUGUUGGUUCUUGUCUGUUUCUUUGAAUGUCUUUUUUUCUCAGCCAGCUGGGCUAACGAGCGAGCGAGAAGGUCUCAGUUUUUCUCCCGGUCACAAGUGUUUCCAUUAAUGAGUCAAAAUAUAGACCCUUUGAAUUCAGAUGUUCUGGGCGAUCCUUUCUGGUCUGCCCCUUCUUUAGCUGCUUUCUCCAGCUAACUUUAUCUCUAUUUUAUCCAGCUCUCUAUUCUGGACAUGGCACAGUCCUGUGCCUGUGAAUGUAAGGAAAACGUCCCAUCAUGGAGAUUCUCAGCAAAACAUUCAUAACCAGGAGUGGAAAUGAUGCAGGAAUCAUUUCCCAGAGACCAGAUGGGGCGGAUUCCUAUUCAAAGAGUUAAAUGACAAAGAAAAGAAAGUCUGAUAUGACAGAAUAUAGGAAUUUUUUUUUUUUUUUGAGACAGUCUUGCUCUGUCACCCAGGCUAGAGAGCAGUGGCAUGAUCAUAGCUCACCGCAGCCUUGACCUCCCAGGCUCAAGAGAUUCUACCGCCUCAGCCGCCCGAGUAGCUGGGACCACAGGUGCCCACCACCACGCUGGGCUAAUUUUUGUAUUUUUUGGUAGACACGGGGUUUCAUCAUGUUGCCCAUGCUGGUCUUGAACCCCUUAGCUCAAGAGAUUUGCCCACCUCAACCUCUCAAAGUGCUGGGAUUACAGGCGUGAGACAGCACACCCAAUCUGAAUAUGGGAAUUUAUGCAAAGCAGAGGUAAGGGCCGGGAGAACUCAGGUUGGAGGAGGAGACAAGGUACCUCCAGCACUGGUGACAAGAGUAAGAAGUAGCCUGGCCAGGCAGCCCCCAAGAACUGAGUGGGCUUCAGGGCAGGAGUUUUCUACCCAAGGCAGCCCUCGAAACUGGGCUUCCAGUUUGACCCGGAGAGAAGAAUGCCUGAUAUUUCUUUAGUAAAACUGACUACGUUUCUAAAAAAAAAAAAAGCCAUUCUCAGCCUGAGUCUCCUCACCUGUACAAUAGCACUAGUAACUAUGCCCAUCCUGCAACACUGAGAGGCAGAUGCGAGAAUUUCUAAACAUGAUGUGGCACUGGCAAGUGGCCAUAUUGCACAAACACAAAGCUUCUGCCGGCCGGGCGCGGUGGCUCAAGCCUGUAAUCCCAGCACUUUGGGAGGCCGAGACGGGCGGAUCAUGAGGUCAGGAGAUCGAGACCAUCCUGGCUAACACGGUGAAACCCCGUCUCUACUAAAAAUACAAGAAAAUUAGCCGGGCGAGGUGGCGGGCGCCUGUAGUCCCAGCUACUCGGGAGGCUGAGGCAGGAGAAUGGCAUGAACCCGGGGGCGGAGCUUGCAGUGAGCCGAGAUCGCCACUGCACUCCAGCCUGGGGCACAGAGCAAGACUCCGCGUCAAAAAAAAAAAAAAAA
rnacentral:lncRNA from 1 species